UGGGGAAUAUUGCACAAUGGAGGGAACUCUGAUGCAGCGACGCCGCGUGAGUGAUGAAGGAAUUCGUUUCGUAAAACUCUGUUCUAUGGGAAGAAAAGGACUGUACCAUAGGAGAAAGCUCCGGCGAAAUACGUGCCAGCAGCCGCGGUAAUACGUAUGGAGCGAGCGUUGUCCGGAAUUAUUGGGCGUAAAGGGUGCGCAGGCGGCUUUACAAGUUGGAUGUGAAAUAUUGUGGCUCAACCACAAACGUGCAUCCAAAACUGCAAAGCUUGAGUUAAGGAGGGGUAAGUGGAAUUCCUGGUGUGGCGAUGGAAUGCGUAGAUAUCAGGAGGAAUACCGGUGGCGAAGGCGACUUACUGGGCUUAAACUGACGCUCAAGCACGAAAGCGUGGGGAGCAAACAGG
rnacentral:rRNA from 1 species